GAAAUGCGAUAAGUAGUGUGAAUUGCAGAAUUCAGUGAAUCAUCGAAUCUUUGAACGCACAUUGCGCCCCUUGGUAUUCCAUGGGGCAUGCCUGUUCGAGCGUCAUUUGUACCCUCAAGCUCUGCUUGGUGUUGGGUGUUUGUCCCCGUCUCCGCGCGUGGACUCGCCCCAAAGUGAUUGGCAGCCGGCGUACUGGUCCCGGAGCGCAGCACAUGUCGCGCAAACGAGUGCCUUGGUACGGCGGCGUCCAUAAGCCCCUCUCUCACGCUCUUGACCUCGGAGCAGGUAGGGAUACCCGCUGAACUUAAGC
rnacentral:misc_RNA from 1 species